GAAGGACGAAAGGUAAAGCUGACUUCGGCAGGAUUUGAACUACGGAACACAUCGGGAGUUAAUUAUUAAAAACAAAAAAGUUUUUUAAAAAGUACUGAGAGAAUUAUCUCCCUUGGACUUGUCUACGUUCAAGAAACUUAGAACCUGUAACAUCCUUCCCCGAAUCCCUUUAAUUCUCAUAUUUAAGGGCUAGUGAACAUGGAUACAUGCUGUUGUUAUUUGUGGUGUUUAUCCCCAGAAAAACCCAGAUGAAGCUGAGCUAUGAUGAAAGGUGUUCCAGCGGUGCCUGCCUAUCUUUUCUAUAGAACGAAAUAUUGAACUGGUGUUGAAGUGACUUCAACAAUGUUUAGUCAAUGACAGAAAUAAUAAGUUUAUUCCCCACGAGGAAGAGGUGAAGAAACAGUGUUUCGGUUUCUUGGCCUUCGUCAAUAUUACUUCGUAAUUUUCCCUCACAGAUGAAAGUGAACGGCUGUGGAGGUUCAGAAGAGUAAAACAGAAAUCAAAGGGGUCCAUAGGCAAAAAAUGUUUGAGAAUUGCUGAUUUAAAGAAAAAUAAAUGAGAUAAAAAAAAAACUGUAUCUUACAAGAUUUAAGAAUCUGAUGAAUGAACUGUACAGAAACCCGACCAAACACUAUAAAUUAAUGGGUCAUCUCCAGACUACGCGCUCACUAUUCUACUCAUAUUUAAAGUCCUAUUGAAAGGCAUGACAAAGCAAGUAUUAGUUUAAUCCCAGGCAGCAAGACCCAC